AACGAACGCUGGCGGCGUGUUUAAGACAUGCAAGUCGCACGGGACUAUUUGAGUAGCAAUACAAGAAUAGUUUAGUGGCGCACGGGUGAGUAACACGUGAAUUACAUGCCCUGCAGAGGGGGAUAGCCCAGGGAAACUUGGAUUAAUACCCCAUGGUAUCGCGAGAUUAAAGGUGGCCGCAAGGCUGUCGCUGCAGGAUUGGUUCGCGCCCUAUCAGCUUGUUGGUGAGGUAACGGCUCACCAAGGCUACGACGGGUACCUGGUCUGAGAGGGCGAUAGGGCACACUGGAACUGAGACACGGUCCAGACCCCUACGGGUGGCAGCAGUCGAGAAUAAUUCACAAUGGGGGCAACCCUGAUGGUGCAACGCCGCGUGGAGGAUGAAGGUCUUCGGAUUGUAAACUCCUGUCAUCCGGGAGUAAGACCUGGCGAUGAAUAGUCGACAGGGUUGAUAGUACCGGAAGAGGAAGGGACGGCUAACUUCGUGCCAGCCGCCGCCGUAA
rnacentral:rRNA from 1 species